rnacentral:rRNA from 1 species
UACGAAGGGGGCUAGCGUUGCUCGGAAUCACUGGGCGUAAAGCGCACGUAGGCGGAUCGUUAAGUCAGGGGUGAAAUCCUGGAGCUCAACUCCAGAACUGCCUUUGAUACUGGCGACCUUGAGUUCGGGAGAGGUGAGUGGAACUGCGAGUGUAGAGGUGAAAUUCGUAGAUAUUGGGAAGAACACCGGUGGCGAAGGCGGCUACUCUGGACCGAGACUGACGCUGAGGCGCGAAAGCGUGGGGAGCAAACAGG